rnacentral:rRNA from 1 species
AGGGCAGAUGGUGGAUGCCUUGGGAUAUCGAGGCGAUGAAGGACGUGGCGUGACUGCGAUAAGCCUCGGGGAGGUGUUUAGCAACCUUUGAUCCGGGGAUUUCCGAAUGGGGAAACCUGAGUGCCCCUUAGGCACUCGGUCCGCCGAUGAGGCGGACGGCGAACCCGCUGAAGUGAAACAUCUCAGUAAGCGGAGGAAAAGAAACCAAUGAUCAUAAAGAUCUUAUUCCCUUAGUAGCGGCGAGCGAAAAGGGAAGAGCCUAAACCAAACAUAUAAAUUUUUUAUGUGUUUGGGGUUGUAAGGAAAUAUUGUCUGGAACCGAGCACAUAAAAUUUUUAUGUGCCUGGUUCAAGAGGGAGAACACUUAGGUAAAGUUUCGUUAGUUGAAUGACCCUGGAAAGGGCAACCAAAGAGGGUAAUAGUCCCGUAAAUGAAAACGACUUUAUGCUCCUUGAUAUUUUACUUGAGUACCUUGGGAAAUGAAAAUCCUGAGGGAAGCAGGCCGGACUAUCGGCCAAGGCUAAAUACUACGAUAUCACCAAUAGUGAACCAGUACCGUGAGGGAAAGGUGAAAAGUAGCGAGGUGAUCGCGGUGAAAUAGAACCUGAAACCAUUUUGCCCACAAGGAGUCGGAGGGACGUAACGCGCAAGCGUGUACGUUCUGACGGCGUGCCUAUUGAAGAAUGAGCCAACGAGUUCGAGUACGUAGCUUGUCUAAAUCCUUUUAGGAUGAAGGCACAGCGAAAGCAAGUGUUAAAAGCGCGUUAUGCUAUUUACUCGAGACCCGAAGCCAAGCGAGCUUGCCAUGGCCAGGGUGAAGUUUGACGAAAGUCAGAUGGAGGCCCGAACCCGUGAGCCGUGCAAUACUCUGGGAUGAGCUGUGGUAAGAAGUGAAAAGCUAAUCGAGCUUGGUAAUAGCUGGUUCUCCCCGAAAUAACUUUAGGGUUAGCCUGAGCAUAUAACUACCUACAGGGGUAGAGCACUAAAUGGAUUAUCGUGGGUUUUACCUAGGCAAUCCAAUUAAACUCCGAAUACUGUAGGUAUGUGCUUGGAGUUAGACUGUGGGGGCUAAGCUCCAUAGUCAAAAGGGAAACAGCCCAGACCUUCAUCUAAGGUCCCUAAAUUUGAGCUAAGUGCAGCAAAGGAAGUAGGAAUCCAUUGAUAGUUAGGAGGUUAGCUUAGAAGCAGCUAUCCUUUAAAAAGUGCGUAAUAGCUUACUAAUUAAGGAAUUCUGCGCCAAAAAUUUACAGGGCUAAAGCUCAAUACCGAAGAUAAGGCUGAGUACUCAAUUCGUUGAGUGCUCGGGGUAGGGGAGCGUCCCUAUUGCAAUGAAGUUCCGCCGUAAGGUCGGGAUGGAGCGAUGGGGAGUGAGAAUGUUGGCAUGAGUAACCGCAAUCCCGGUGAAAGCCCGGGACACCGAAAUCCUAAGGUUUCCUUGGCAAUGACGAUCAACCAAGGGUUAGGCGGGCCUAAGGCGUAGCCGAAAGGCGAAGCUGAUGGACAGCCGGUUAAUAUUCCGGCCCCCGGGUACAUAAUUCUGAAGAGGGGACGGAGUCUAGUAGUCUAAGCAAGUUAUUGGAUUCUUGUCGCUAACUUAAGGAUUUUCCAAGAGUUAGCGGGAAGCUUCGGUUCGCCGGAGUGAACUUAGAUGAGCAGGCUCCCAAGAAAAGCCUUUUCAGAAGUUAAUUAUGUGCCUGGUCCGUACCGUAAACCAACACAGGUAGGAUGGCGUAAGAGUGCCAAGGUGAACGGGUGAAACCUCGUUAAGGAACUCGGCAAAAAAGCGUCCGUAAGUUCGCGAUAUGGGCUCCCCAUUAGAUAAUUUAUCUAACGGGAUGCAACGAACGAUCCCCUAGCGACUGUUUAUCAAAAACACAGGUCCCUGCUUAACUCGUAAGAGAAUGUAUAGGGGCUGAGGCCUGACCAGUGCUGGAACGUCAACAGCGGCGGUUCAAGCGCAUAAUUCGUAUGUGUUUGAGCUAACCGCUCGAAGCGCCAGUGAACGUCCGCCGUAACUAUAACGGUGUUAAAGUAGCGUAGUCCCUUGCCAGGUAAGUUCUGGCCCGCAUGAAAGGCUUAACGACUAGGGGACUGUCUCAACGAGGAGCCCGGUGAAAAUGCAAUACCGGUAAAGAUGCCGGUUACCUGCGGCUAGACGGAAAGACCCCGGGAGCUUUACUGUAGUCAGAUAUUGAAUUUUGGUUUUGGAUGCGUAGCGUAGAAGGGAGACUUUGAAGUCCGCCUUUCGGGGCGGAUGGAGUCGUCAAUGAAACACCUUUCUUUUAAAACUUUUGUUCUAAUCCUGAGAUUAUCGAAGGAAACAGUGUCUGGCGGUCAGUUUAAGUGGGGCGCUUGCCUCCUAAAAGGUAACGGAGGCGUUUAAAGGUCGGCUAGCUCCGGAUGGAAAUCGGAGUGAUCGGGCAAAGCCAAAAGCCGGCUUUACUGCAAGCAGGAUAUUGCGCGCAGUUGGGAAACCAGAACUUAGUGAACCGACCGUGGUUAGUAGAAUCGCGGAAGAUCAUCAGCUAAAAGUUACCCCGGGGAUAGACUCUGAAAUAAGAGUUUGUUGUCCAAUCCCGCAGCAAUGCGGGAAAUGUACGGCUUAUAACGGUGAACCAAAAACUGGUCUUCCUCUUUUUGAGGUUUUAAGUUUUUGGAAUACCGUGGGAAGUCGGAAGGAAGUUUGUUUUACUUUAUGAUUUCUUUAUCUCGUGAACAAAAAUCAAUUCUCUUUGGAACAAUUCUCGGAGACGGUUAUUUACAAAAAACUGGCAAGAAGAACGCAAGAUUACGUUUAGAGCAUGGAGGAAAACAAAAAGAAUAUCUUUUGU